GUUAAGGAUUUAACUGUACCUAUUUUUCCAUUCCGCUUAUUCGCUCUCUACAAUGCCACAAAAUCUCUCUGCUUUUAGAUAAACAUAUUACCAUGAUAUAUCACAGUCAAAGCUGUAAAUAUCAAUCAGCGAAUCAGGCGUCACGCGUCAGGGACGACAGGCAGGAUUCCUCACCAGAGGGAGAAUUGCGAUGUUUUUCGAUUCUCUUGAAAAAACUAAAAAAGACAUGGCCUUUAAAUUGUUCUUAUUUUUCAACGCGUUAAUUGUUAUGGGACUUCUAAAAUUUAUACUUGAUUUCUUUUAUAGACAAAGUAGACUCUGAAUGAACCUGUGCCACCAUCCACCAUCUCCACAUGAAUGAGUUCAUUUGCUGCACAAACAACCAACCAACCACACACAGCAAACACCACAAUAAUUUGCAACCUUUGGGACCAAAUAACCCAGAAGUUCUAAACCCUUAAUUGACCCGGCACUACACCAUUUUUUAAAUAACUACAAUGUUUAGGAAAAUUGUUCAAAGACACCAAUUCGUUGGCGAACAAACCAUGAACCUUACUGAUACCUAUGCACUAUUCAAUUUAAAAUUGCUACCAAGUCCUCCAACAUAGCGAUCCGAUGCUUUACCAUUGAGCUACGAAUGACACCUGUAACACUUCUACUUCUUCGACACAUUAACAUAACUGCACGAGUUAAAUAGUCCCUCAGACGACAAUGGAAGGAUAUAGGAAGGCAAUGCUAGAAUGUUAUGGCAACCGACGCCUAAUUCGGUGGUUAGAUUCACAGUUAUGUUCCACAGGAUCUUCCAAACAUGCUAGGAAGUAUACCAUUCAAGUGCACCAACAAUGUUGAGAAACAUACCAACAAUGACAACACCAACUUUUGCCAAGUGAGUAAGUUGUGGGAUGAACAUGUUUUAAGAAUGGGUAAUAUAAGAGACAAACAUUUCUUUAAACAAAUGGACUUUUUGUCGAUCACAUUGCGCACUGCAUUUUACUUUAGUUGAUUUGAGUUGCAAGGUUUAUUUAUAUCUAAUCUAACAAAAAUGUUUCCCUCCCAAGUGAACACGUUCUGUCUGAAUGGCCACACAAUGCUGGGUAUGUAUUGAUAUGAUCGGUGGAUUGGAUUAAGAGUUGAGGCGUAUGGUAGAUGACAACAAGAAUUCGCCCUCGCUCACACAUACAGGGCUCACGAAAAUGAGAAAUAAAAUGUUGCUUCAAAGAAUCGGAAAAGAA